rnacentral:rRNA from 1 species
ACAGUACAACUCCUACGGGAGGGCAGCAGUGGGGAAUAUUUGGACAAGUGGGGGAACCCCUGAUCCAGCCAUGCCGCGUGUGUGAAGAAGGCCUUAUGGUUGUAAAGCACUUUAAGCGAGGAGGAGGCUACUGAGACUAAUACUCUUGGAUAGUGGACGUUACUCGCAGAAUAAGCACCGGCUAACUUCUGUGCCAGCAGCCGCGGGUAAUACAGAGGGUGCGAGCGUUAAUCGGAUUUACUGGGCGUAAAGCGUGCGUAGGCGGCCAUUUAAGUCAAAUGUGGAAUCCCCGAGCUUAACUUGGGAAUUGCAUUCGAUACUGGAUGGCUAGAGUAUGGGAGAGGAUGGUAGAAUUCCAGGUGUAGCGGUGAAAUGCGUAGAGAUCUGGAGGAAUACCGAUGGCGAAGGCAGCCAUCUGGCCUAAUACUGACGCUGAGGUACGAAAGCAUGGGGAGCAAACAGGAUUAGAUACCCUGGUAG